rnacentral:sRNA from 1 species
GGGGGACAGCCACUGACGCCGGGACCGGGACCGCCGCCGCCGCCGCCACCAUGAGUGAUCAGCAGCUGGACUGUGCCUUGGACCUAAUGAGGCGCCUGCCUCCCCAGCAAAUCGAGAAAAACCUCAGCGACCUGAUCGACCUGGUCCCCAGUCUAUGUGAGGAUCUCCUGUCUUCUGUUGACCAGCCACUGAAAAUUGCCAGAGACAAGGUGGUGGGAAAGGAUUACCUUUUGUGUGACUACAACAGAGAUGGGGACUCCUAUAGGUCACCAUGGAGUAACAAGUAUGACCCUCCCUUGGAGGAUGGGGCCAUGCCGUCCGCUCGGCUGAGAAAGCUGGAGGUGGAAGCCAACAAUGCCUUUGACCAGUAUCGAGACCUCUGCUUCUGAAUUCUUGGAUCCUGAUGAAUUGCAGUUAGGACUAUGUUUGGCUUGACUCCAGCCUCAUGACCACCAACCCCAUCGAAUGACUGAGAGCUGCCAGGCUCCUGCCACGCUGGAUCUCAGAAUCCUCCCAUGGGGACACCGUGCUGCAGCCAGCCUCCAGGGAGCCGCUUGUUUUAUGGCCGAGAAGGUCACACUGGACUUUGCUCGCACAGAGAUUUGACCCAAAAAAAGGAAUAAAGAGGCCUCGGAUACCC